AUUCCUACGGGAGGCAGCAGUGGGGAAUAUUGCACAAUGGGCGAAAGCCUGAUGCAGCGACGCCGCGUGAGGGAUGACGGCCUUCGGGUUGUAAACCUCUUUCAGUAGGGAAGAAGCGAAAGUGACGGUACCUGCAGAAGAAGCGCCGGCUAACUACGUGCCAGCAGCCGCGGUAAUACGUAGGGCGCAAGCGUUAUCCGGAAUUAUUGGGCGUAAAGAGCUCGUAGGCGGUUUGUCGCGUCUGCCGUGAAAGUCCGGGGCUCAACUCCGGAUCUGCGGUGGGUACGGGCAGACUAGAGUGAUGUAGGGGAGACUGGAAUUCCUGGUGUAGCGGUGAAAUGCGCAGAUAUCAGGAGGAACACCGAUGGCGAAGGCAGGUCUCUGGGCAUUAACUGACGCUGAGGAGCGAAAGCAUGGGGAGCGAACAGGAUUAGAUACCCUGGUAGUCCAUGCCGUAAACGUUGGGCACUAGGUGUGGGGGACAUUCCACGUUUUCCGUACCGUAGCUAACGCAUUAAGUGCCCCGCCUGGGGAGUACGGCCGCAAGGCUAAAACUCAAAGGAAUUGACGGGGGCCCGCACAAGCGGCGGAGCAUGCGGAUUAAUUCGAUGCAACGCGAAGAACCUUACCAAGGCUUGACAUGAACCGGAAACACCUGGAAACAGGUGCCCCGCUGCGGUCGGUACAGGUGGUGCAUGGUGUCGUCAGCUCGUGUCGUGAGAUGUUGGGUUAAGUCCCGCAACGAGCGCAACCCUCGUUCUAUGUUGCCAGCGCGUUAAGGCGGGGACUCAUAGGAGACUGCCGGGGUCAACUCGGAGGAAGGUGGGGACGACGUCAAAUCAUCAUGCCCCUUAUGUCUUGGGCUUCACGCAUGCUACAAUGGCCGGUACAAAGGGUUGCGAUACUGUGAGGUGGAGCUAAUCCCAAAAAGCCGGUCUCAGUUCGGAUUGGGGUCUGCAACUCGACCCCAUGAAGUCGGAGUCGCUAGUAAUCGCAGAUCAGCAACGCUGCGGUGAAUACGUUCCCGGGCCUUGUACACACCGCC
rnacentral:rRNA from 1 species